GGUGGCUCAGUGGUAGAGCGCUUGUCUCACAUGCGGGAGGCCCGGGGUUUGAUUCCUCAGCACCA
rnacentral:tRNA from 1 species